UAAGGUUGUCGAAACGUCAGUCAACAACAUCAAAAACAGUCCUUCUCAGGACUUUAUUAACCUGGACGAUCAUCGUUUGAUAAGUUUAUUACACUUUGUGAAGCUCUUGUCAAAGUCAUUGUUCUUUCCCCCAUUGAAUUUGGUUGAUUAUUAUGACAAUCAUCCACUCUACAAGAAGCAUUUCAAAACAAAAAAACUAUCUCCUGUCAGAGUGUUCACUAAUGUCUUGUUAAAGACCAUCAUUCUACCACCAAAUGAUAACAUAACAAUGUUUGGCAGCAUUGUCUUAUUUGUGGGAAAUGUGUAAAGAAAGGUUAUGUUCACUGUGAGAUAUGUAAAUCCUGCAAACCUCCUGGACAUGAUUGUCAAAGAGUUUAACAAGAGGAUGUCAUAUUUGUGGAGAUUUUGGUCACAAAAGGAAAGCUUGCCCACGAAGACACACUAAAAUGAAUUCAAAUCAGAAAAAAAGAUUCCAUGAUGGCAAACAAAUCACUGAAUGUAAUAAAAUCAGGAAAAGAGAACAUUGAUGGACAAGAACUAUUACUUGAUGUUUCAUACAUCUUAAAGAAACAUGACAGUGAAUCCUGUCUGUCUCCUUAAUUUAAAAUUUAAGGCUUGAUCAAGUCUUCUAAUGUCAACGUACAAGAUAGAAAAGGAUCUGAAAGAUGGAGAUAAGUGAUGUAUGGAAGUGAAAUAUAUUUAUCUUUUCAUCCAAAUUCAUUAAUUAAAAGUUUGGCAAAUCUUAUACAUCUGCCCUUAUACUUAUAAAAGCAAUUAUUUGCACACAAGAAUACCCAGAGGUUAUGUAGGUGUUGACAGUUUGUUGAGUUCAUUGGGUUUUGAAAAGUCUUAUGGCUAUACUGUGACUUGGUGGUGGGAAAAUUGGAGAGAGGAUAGAAAGUCAAGGUUGUGAGCAUUAUCUGUAACAUUGUAUGUAAAUAUGCUUUCUAAAAACAUUCUUGGUUUACUUUAUGUCAAACCUUCACUUAUAUCAUUCACCCUCCACUUCUUAGCUUCUUAGCUCAAACUUAACACGUGACUUAUUUUGACCAAUUACAUUUGGUAAUUGGCACUAAAUUUGCCGAUCCUUCACGCGCCAUGUUUAAAAUAAUUUCUUCCUGACACACUCUUUAUCGUAAGUAUUAUGUACAAUAUUGCAAUAUUUGUCGAAUAAAUAAGAUUUAUAGCAUCAAAGUGAACUUAACUUGCCAAAAACACGAUUUGUCAAAGCAAAGAGUCUCACGGCUUGCCUUCUUUGGUACAAGGAUAUUCACUUCAUCAAUCAAGAAGAAUGUUGAAGCUUGAAGUCAAGAGAAGAGUGGAUACACAGGUGUUUGUGGUGGUGAUAGUCGUACAUCGAGUCUCAAGAAAGAAUCGUUGUAAAGAAAGAACUCUUUGGAAUCACCUGUGUACGAUACAUACAUAAUAAAGCAUGUUACAUCUAAACAGCCCAACCAAAAGGUGAACAGAAAACAACGACAGCAAGUGCAAUGGCAGAACAACGAUGAAAUUGAAUUUGACAAAGUGAGCAUUUGUCGAAAAGAAUUUGGGUAUACAAACCGAUCAACAGCUAGAAGUUUAGAUAAACGUCAACGUUGGGGAAGAAUUUACUGAUAACUGACAGAUAUUCUCAGUGUGGACUGCACGCAAAUUAUUAACUAUCAAAGCAGAGGCUCUGAUAUUUAUAUUAAGAAUUCGCUUUCCGCCCGGUAUAUCCCUGGUCACAAUUCUGAAGAAACUAUCAAAGCGGAAUUAUUACGAGUUAAAUUACUACGAGUGAACUACGACAAGUGCCAUUGGAUUGAUAAAGCUAAUAUCGACAGCAGCCGCUAAAAGAAAUCUGCGUGGUUUAGCCGUAAGAAAACGUGCUGCUUUUGAAAGACUUAUUACUUUUCUCUAUCUUUUUCAAAAGAAGACAUAAGUAACUAUAGAUGUUUUGCUUUUGUAUUACCAAACUAACAUUAAUAUAAAUGUAUUUAUUUGUAAUACUUUUCAGUCUUUAUAUCAACACUCGACUACGAAUAUGAAUUUUUGGUUUACCUUUA